rnacentral:rRNA from 1 species
CGGGUGAGUAACACGUGGGUGAUCUGCCUUGCACUCUGGGAUAAGCUUGGGAAACUGGGUCUAAUACCGGAUAGGAACCGUCUUUAGUGUGGUGGUGGAAAGUUUUUCGGUGCAAGAUGAGCUCGCGGCCUAUCAGCUUGUUGGUGGGGUAAUGGCCUACCAAGGCGUCGACGGGUAGCCGGCCUGAGAGGGUGUACGGCCACAUUGGGACUGAGAUACGGCCCAG